rnacentral:rRNA from 1 species
UGGGGAAUAUUGGACAAUGGGCGAAAGCCUGAUCCAGCCAUGCCGCGUGUGUGAAGAAGGUCUUCGGAUUGUAAAGCACUUUAAGUUGGGAGGAAGGGCAUUAACCUAAUACGUUAGUGUUUUGACGUUACCGACAGAAUAAGCACCGGCUAACUCUGUGCCAGCAGCCGCGGUAAUACAGAGGGUGCAAGCGUUAAUCGGAAUUACUGGGCGUAAAGCGCGCGUAGGUGGUUUGUUAAGUUGGCUGUGAAAUCGCCGGGCUCAACCUGGGAACUGCAUUCAAAACUGACUGACUAGAGUAUGGUAGAGGGUGGUGGAAUUUCCUGUGUAGCGGUGAAAUGCGUAGAUAUAGGAAGGAACACCAGUGGCGAAGGCGACCACCUGGACUAAUACUGACACUGAGGUGCGAAAGCGUGGGGAGCAAACA